rnacentral:rRNA from 1 species
UACGUAGGGGGCAAGCGUUGUCCGGAAUUAUUGGGCGUAAAGAGCGCGUAGGCGGUCCGAUAAGUCGGCUGUGAAAGUCAGGGCUCAACCCUUGAAAGCCGGCCGAUACUGUCGGACUAGAGUCCGGAAGAGGCGAGUGGAAUUCCCGGUGUAGCGGUGAAAUGCGCAGAUAUCGGGAAGAACACCCGUGGCUAAGGCGGCUCUCUAGUACGGUACUGACGCUGAGACGCGAAAGCGUGGGGAGCGAACAGG